UACGUAGGUGGCAAGCGUUGUCCGGAUUUACUGGGCGUAAAGAGCGCGCAGGCGGUCGCGCAAGUCGCGUGUGAAAGCCCCCGGCUCAACUGGGGAGGGUCACGCGAUACUGCUCGACUCGAAGGCAGGAGAGGGAAGUGGAAUUCCCGGUGUAGUGGUGAAAUGCGUAGAUAUCGGGAGGAACACCAGUGGCGAAGGCGACUUCCUGGCCUGUUCUUGACGCUGAGGCGCGAAAGCUAGGGUAGCAAACGGG
rnacentral:rRNA from 1 species